CGCAGCCUGAUCAGCAAUGCCGCGUGCAAGAUGAAGGCCUUCGGGUUGUAAACUGCUUUUGUCACGGAAGAAAUCCUUUGGGCUAAUACCUCGGAGGGAUGACGGUACCUGAAGAAUAAGCACCGGCUAACUACGUGCCAGCAGCCGCGGUAAUACUUAGGGUGCGAGCGUUAAUCGGAAUUACUGGGCGUAAAGCGUGCGCAGGCGGCUUUGCAAGACAGAGGUGAAAUCCCCGGGCUCAACCUGGGAACUGCCUUUGUGACUGCAAGGCUAGAGUACGGCAGAGGGGGAUGGAAUUCCGCGUGUAGCAGUGAAAUGCGUAGAUAUGCGGAGGAACACCGAUGGCGAAGGCAAUCCCCUGGGCCUGUACUGACGCUCAUGCACGAAAGCGUGGGGAGCAAACAGGAUUAGAUACCCUGGUAGUCCACGCCCUAAACGAUGUCAACUGGUUGUUGGACGGCUUGCUGUUCAGUAACGAAGCUAACGCGUGAAGUUGACCGCCUGGGGAGUACGGCCGCAAGGUUGAAACUCAAAG
rnacentral:rRNA from 1 species